CCUACGUGUGGCAGCAGUGAGGAAUAUUGGUCAAUGGGCGCGAGCCUGAACCAGCCAAGUAGCGUGAAGGAUGACUGCCCUACGGGUUGUAAACUUCUUUUAUAAAGGAAUAAAGUGAGGCACGUGUGCCUUUUUGUAUGUACUUUAUGAAUAAGGAUCGGCAAACUCCGUGCCAGCAGCCGCGGUAAUACGGAGGAUCCGAGCGUUAUCCGGAUUUAUUGGGUUUAAAGGGAGCGUAGAUGGGUUGUUAAGUCAGUUGUGAAAGUUUGCGGUUCAACCGUAAAAUUGCAAUUGAUACUGGCAGUCUUGAGGACAGUUGAGGUAGGCGGAAUUCGUGGUGUAGCGGUGAAAUGCUUAGAUAUCACGAAGAACUCCGAUUGCGAAGGCAGCUUACUAAACUGCCACUGACAUUGAUGCUCGAAAGUGUGGGUAUCAAACAGGAUUAGAUACCCCAGUAGUC
rnacentral:rRNA from 1 species